AAACACAACAAAAAACAUAGAGAAAUCAUAGAGUGUUAAAUAUA
rnacentral:misc_RNA from 1 species